GGAGUAAUUGGAGAAACUAUGGCCAUUUUCUUCUAGAACGAAAACAGGAGUAUAACAGUCUAACGCUCAGGAACAUACAGAAACCACAGGAUAUGCAGUACCAUAACUGUAACAGAAGGAUACUAGAGCACAGAUAAAAAUUUGACCUUGUGAUUAGUGGAAGACAACAAAAUGGGGAAAAACUGAUAAUAACACAGUUAAAGUGUGUCUUUGAAGACAAAGCUUGUACCCACUGUGCCUGCAUGGAGCAACGUUACAUGGUAUCUUCACGAGACCCUUUCCACCCCUAAUAGAAUGCAGGCUACUAUUUGCGAAACUAGUAUGAAGACAGAGAUUUUCUUCAUUCCUUGCUUGCCUAAACAGAUAUGUCACAAGCUAGUAAGAAAACUCAAUCUAGAGCUGAUAGGCAUUUCAUAAUUAAACUUUAUAAAAAGAAUUUCCAGGUAAAAAUAAUGUUCUUUACGUAAUCAGGAUGUUCUUUUUUUUAUUAUUGUUUUAUUAUUUAUUAUGGUUAUUAUUAUUUACUAUUUUUCUAAAAAAAAUACAGAGUCAUUAUCAGAUUUUUUUUGCUGGCUUGAACAACUAAUACUGACUUGUAAUGAAUUAGAACAUUUCUAAGCACUCAGUUCCAAAAAAGAGAAUGCUGAUGUCUGAAUGUCCCUUUUGAUGGAAUCAUUUAAUCUUCUAUCCUCUAAAUAUUUCAUUUUGGCUUUAAAUACUUUUCUAUGAAUUGUGAAAUAUGUUAAUUCACUAUUGUCCUAUUGUCUGCCAGAGCUGCUUUACUUCUUGAUUUCUUUUAAUCUCAGGAAAAGCCAAUAAGUUAGGAGGCAGAUACAUUUGAGGGUGAGUCCUUACUGUCUUUAAAGCACGUAAAUGUUGCAAUUGUCUAAUACACAAAUACUAUGAACUCUAAAAUUUCACUGUUAAAUGUAAAAUAACCCAAAUACUGUUGAUAUGGAAAUACAUUUCAGCCCUAUAAUUAAUGCAAAACAUUGUUUAAAAUGACUUAAUGCAAUGAUAGUACAAAGGGGUUUCUUGAUUGUCUUUAAUCCCAAUGAAGAUUGAAAUAAAAUCUUAAAUCAC
rnacentral:lncRNA from 7 species